GUGCUCCCUUUGAUAGCACAUACACUGAAAUCAGACUGGUGCAGAGAGGAUUAGCGCUGGCCCUGCAUAAGGAUAUCAUGCGAAAGAUUCUACUUUCUCUU
ensembl:snRNA Gm47290 predicted gene, 47290